GAUGAACGCUGGCGGCGUGCCUAAUACAUGCAAGUCGAGCGAACAGACGAGGAGCUUGCUCCUCUGACGUUAGCGGCGGACGGGUGAGUAACACGUGGAUAACCUACCUAUAAGACUGGGAUAACUUCGGGAAACUGGAGCUAAUACCGGAUAACAUGUUGAACCGCAUGGUUCAACAGUGAAAGACGGUUUUGCUGUCACUUAUAGAUGGAUCCGCGCCGCAUUAGCUAGUUGGUAAGGUAACGGCUUACCAAGGCAACGAUGCGUAGCCGACCUGAGAGGGUGAUCGGCCACACUGGAACUGAGACACGGUCCAGACUCCUACGGGAGGCAGCAGUAGGGAAUCUUCCGCAAUGGGCGAAAGCCUGACGGAGCAACGCCGCGUGAGUGAAGAAGGUCUUCGGAUCGUAAAACUCUGUUAUUAGGGAAGAACAAAUGUGUAAGUAACUAUGCACGUCUUGACGGUACCUAAUCAGAAAGCCACGGCUAACUACGUG
rnacentral:rRNA from 1 species